CCUACGGGUGGCAGCAGUGUGGGAUAUUGCACAAUGGGGGAAACCCUGAUGCAGCGACGCCGCGUGUGGGAAGACGGUCUUCUGGCUUGUAAACCACUGUCCCCAGGUACUAAAAUGACGGUACCUGGGGAGGAAGCUCCGGCUAACUACAUGCCAGCCGCCGCGGUACUAAGUAGGGAGCAAGCGUUUUCCGGAUUUACUGGGUGUAAAGGGAGCGUAGACGGCGCUGCAAGUCCGGAGUGAAAGCCCAUGGCUGAACCAUGGUACUGCUCUGGAAACGGUGGAGCUUGAGUGAGGGUGGGGCAGGCGGAAUUCGUAGUGUAGCGGUGAAAUGCGUAGAUAUUAGGAGGAACACAGGCGGCGAAGG
rnacentral:rRNA from 1 species